GACGAACGCUGGCGGCGUGCUUAACACAUGCAAGUCGAGCGGUGACCCAGGGCUUGCCCUGGUGAUCAGUGGCGAACGGGUGAGUAACACGUGGGGCAACCUGCCCCUGACUUCGGGAUAACUCCUCGAAAGAGGAGCUAAUACCGGAUACGACCACUUCGGACAUCCGAUGGUGGUGGAAAGUUUUUCGGUCAGGGAUGGGCCCGCGGCCUAUCAGCUAGUUGGUGGGGUAAUGGCCUACCAAGGCGACGACGGGUAGCCGGCCUGAGAGGGCGACCGGGCCACACUGGGACUGAGACACGGCCCAGACUCCUACGGGAGGCAGCAGUGGGGAAUAUUGCGCAAUGGGCGAAAGCCUGACGCAGCGACGCCGCGUGAGGGAUGAAGGCCUUCGGGUUGUAAACCUCUUUCAGCAGGGACGAAGCGAAAGUGACGGUAACCUGCAGAAGAAGCACCGGCUAACUACGUGCCAGCAG
rnacentral:rRNA from 1 species